AGAGAAUCAAGAGUAAGCAGGACGAAAAGUCAGGCAUGAGAGAGGAAGAGAUGGGCUAUUCCUGAUAAGCUGUUGGAAUUUUAAAUGUCCAGAUACUUCACUGGAACAAUGUUUUAAAGGGAGCUCAUCAACUCAAAACCUACACUUCUGUCUGAAAAUGUAAAAAUAGUUUAUUUAAAACAAAUAGCC